GAUGAACGCUGGCGGCGUGCCUAAUACAUGCAAGUCGAGCGAACAGACGAGGAGCUUGCUCCUCUGACGUUAGCGGCAGACGGGUGAGUAACACGUGGAUAACCUACCUAUAAGACUGGUAUAACUUCGGGAAACCGGAGCUAAUACCGGAUAAAAUAUUGAACCGCAUGGGUCAAUAGUGAAAGACGGUUUUGCUGUCACUUAUAGAUGGAUCCGCGCCGCAUUAGCUAGUUGGUAAGGUAACGGCUUACCAAGGCAACGAUGCGUAGCCGACCUGAGCGGGUGGUCGGCCACACUGGAACUGAGACGCGGUCCAGGGGCCUGCGGGAGGGAGCAGUAGCGAAUCUGCCGCAAUGGGCGAGAGCCUGGCGGAGCGACGCCGAGUCAGUGAUGACGGUCUUCGGAUCGUAAAAAUCUGUUACUAGGUAUGAACAAAUGUGUACGUAACUAUGCCCGUAUUGACGGUACCUGAAUAGAAAGCCACGGCUAACUACGUG
rnacentral:rRNA from 1 species